AAAUAUACUAAAACGAUUGAAGAUUUACAAUUCUAUUUUUAAAGCCAAUUUUUUUUUCCUUCUCUGUGAUUGAGAACAACGAAGAGAGGCACCACAAUCAAACUCCAAAACUAAGUCACCUUCUUCCUUCUCUCCCAAGACACCUAGCUCCGACGUCUACCAGGCCCCUGCCUCUCUUCACCUUCAAGAGGAAGAUGGACCAGUCGAGUUACAAGAAACGGCGAGACUAUAAGGGAUUGAGGGAGUGAGAAGUAAGAUCGAGAUAGUGAUCGGGAUCGAGAGCAAGAAUAAGAGCAAGGUCGUGAGAGAGACCCAAAAAGAGAUUGUUUAAAUCAGAGCAAGCGAGAACGAGAGCGUGAUCGUGACAGAGACCGAGAAAGAGAUCGUUUAAAUCAAAAUAAGAGGAGAAUAGGGGAUAGGAUGACGCACGUGAACAAAAAUAAAGGUAUGUUCUGUGAUCGUGUCUAGACAAUGAAUUUUUUUGGGAAGAAUACUGGAGAUUACGAGAAAUAAAGGUCCUCCGUAGACUGAGUCAUCCCAAUAUCAUGAAAUUGAACGAGGUUAUUCAAGAAAACGAUAAAGUGUUCCUAAUUUUUGAGUACAUGAUACAAUUGCCUUAAGAAUGCAAACAACUACCUUUGAAAAAUUCAAAGGACUGUGGAAGACGCUUACAGAGGGAACUUGGAGUGAUGCAUUUGAUGGACUUGGAAUGUCCCUGUUACUGACUUGGAACCCUAUUUUUCAGGUGCAGUCUUUAAGAGUGUUGCUACCUUUCUCACAUAUCCUGCAAUCAGGUGUAAGGUGAUGAUACAAGCUGGAGAUCCAAAUGACGACGAUGGUGGUGGUUCGCAAGUAAUUUAUCAUAAUCCACAUGACUGGUGCAUUAGUGUGUAAUUAUAUUUUGUGCUUUCAUUCUUGAGUCUUGUUGUUCCUUUGUGUUGAGAUGGUAUUUUGUUGAGCAAAGUUCAGUCAAUUGGAGAAAAAGAAACUCUCAUUCAUGUACAAGCAAUUCAGCUGUUUUGUAUCUCGAAGAUCCUGUUAAAUUUACUACUUUUUUCACCUAAACAAAAGUAUUGAUCACCUACUCUUUUAAGGUAAUGAUUGUUCUUUAGGGAUUCAUAUAAUUGAAUCUUUUUUUCUUCACUACCUUUUUUAAUAACUAAAAAAAUGUUUAUUUAACUUUUAAUCUGUAAAUCUUUAAUAUAGCAUUGCUUGAAAUUUGUGUGCAUGUUUCAGGAAGAAUAUUGUUGGUCAGUAUUAUGGCCACACCUCCUUCAC